AUAAAAUAAUUAUGUUUUUAAUAAUUUAUUAUAAAUUUAUUUUACAUAUAAAUUUUAGUAUAUAAUUUUAAUUAUUUAAAUAAUAAUUAAUUUAAUUUUAGUAGUAAUUAAUAUUAAAAAUUUAAGAAAUUAAGAUUUAGUAAUAUAAAAAUUAAUAACUAAUUUUGUGCCAGCAGUUGCGGUUAGACAAAAGUUAAAUUAAAUUGUUUCAGUAUAUAAUAAAUAAUAAAAUUAUUAAAUUAAAUAUUAAAUUAUUGGGUGAAAUUUUAAUUUAAUUAAAUUUUAUUUUAAAAUUAUGGAUUUAGUAAAUUUUAAUAUAAACUAGGAUUAGAUACCCUAUUAUUAAAAAUUUAAUUUAUAAUACUAAAAUAGUAAAUAAUGAUUUAUUGAAACUUAAAUAAUAUGGCGGUAUUUUAGUUCAUUUAGAGGAAUCUGUCUAAUAAUUGAUAAUCCACGAAUAAAUUUACUUAAUUUAUAAUUUUGUAUAUCAUUGUUAAAAAAAUAUUUUUUAGGGGUAAUAAUAUUUAAAGUUUAAAAUUAAAAGUUAAAUCAGAUCAAGAUGCAGAAUAUAAUUAAGAAUAUGAUGGAUUACAUUAAAUAUAUUUAAAUGAAUAAUUUUAUUGUAAAAAAAAUUUGAAGGUGGAUUUAAAUGUAAUUUUAAUUAGUUUAUUAAAAUGAUUAAAAAUUAAAAUAUGUACAUAUUGCCCGUCACUUUCAUUUAAAAAUUGAAAUAAGUCGUAACAAAGUAGAGGUACUGGAAAGUGUUUCUAGAAAGG
rnacentral:ncRNA from 1 species